AUCCUACGGGAGGCAGCAGUGGGGAAUAUUGCACAAUGGGCGCAAGCCUGAUGCAGCCAUGGCCGCGUGUAUGAAGAAGGCCUUCGGGUUGUAAAGUACUUUCAGCAGUGAGGAAGGUGGGUAUGUUAAUACGCAUAUUCAUUUGACGUUAGCUGCAGAAGAAGCACCGGCUAACUCCCGUGCCAGCAGCCGCGGUAAUACGGAGGGUGCGAGCGUUAAUCGGAAUUACUGGGCGUAAAGCGCAUGCAGGUGGUUUGUUAAGUCAGAUGUGAAAGCCCGGGGCUCAACCUCGGAAUUGCAUUUGAAACUGGCAAACUAGAGUACUGUAGAGGGGGUAGAAUUUCAGGUGUAGCGGUGAAAUGCGUAGAGAUCUGAAGGAAUACCGGUGGCGAAGGCGGCCCCCUGGACAGAUACUGACACUCAGAUGCGAAAGCGUGGGGAGCAAACAGGAUUAGAUACCCUGGUAG
rnacentral:rRNA from 1 species